GACGAACGCUGGCGGCGUGCUUAACACAUGCAAGUCGAGCGGUAAGGCCCUUUCGGGGGUACACGAGCGGCGAACGGGUGAGUAACACGUGGGUGACCUGCCCUCAGCUCUGGGAUAAGCCUGGGAAACUGGGUCUAAUACCGGAUAUGACUCCAUGACGCAUGUUGUGGGGUGGAAAGCCUUGUGCGGCUGAGGAUGGGCCCGCGGCCUAUCAGCUUGUUGGUGGGGUGAUGGCCUACCAAGGCGACGACGGGUAGCCGGCCUGAGAGGGCGACCGGCCACACUGGGACUGAGACACGGCCCAGACUCCUACGGGAGGCAGCAGUGGGGAAUCUUGCGCAAUGGGCGAAAGCCUGACGCAGCGACGCCGCGUGAGGGAUGACGGCCUGUGUAG
rnacentral:rRNA from 1 species